rnacentral:rRNA from 1 species
GACGAACGCUGGCGGCGCGCUUAACACAUGCAAGUCGAACGGAGCUGAGAGAAGCUUGCUUUUCUCAGCUUAGUGGCGAACGGGUGAGUAACGCGUGAGUAACCUGCCCUGGAGUGGGGGACAACAGUUGGAAACGACUGCUAAUACCGCAUAAGCCCACGGAUUCGCAUGGAUCUGCGGGAAAAGGAUUUAUUCGCUUCAGGAUGGACUCGCGUCCAAUUAGCUAGUUGGUGAGGUAACGGCCCACCAAGGCGACGAUUGGUAGCCGGACUGAGAGGUUGAACGGCCACAUUGGGACUGAGACACGGCCCAGACUCCUACGGGAGGCAGCAGUGGGGGAUAUUGCACAAUGGGGGAAACCCUGAUGCAGCGACGCCGCGUGGAGGAAGAAGGUUUUCGGAUUGUAAACUCCUGUCGU